GAAGACUGGCUUUGUGCUGAGCCGGAAGGACCUGGAGCCCUCAGAGAGCACCAUGGUACAUGCGUGCGAAUGUACUCAACGAUUUGUUCCACAAACUGGUCAUGAAACCGCUACUGCAACACAGGAGGACGUGGGAGGAAACGUUCGCGGAAGAAAAGGACGCUGAGACAGCCACACCCCUAAAGAGAGGGGCAUUUGGAGAUUUUUGCCAGGAUUAUCCCCGCCCCCGCCCCUAGUUCCCGCCCCCAUCCUAGUUCCCCCCCCUAGUUCCCGCCCCCAUAUUCCUACACCUGUAAAGACCCCUUCCAGCCCUUCGGUUGAGAACACGUGACCCUGGGGCACUUCUGAGUGCGCCCUGCGGCCGUCCUCCUACCAAACGCGGAGACCAACCGCAGGGACCAAAUGCAGGGACCAAACGCAGCACCCGGGGGCGGCGAGGAAGAUACCCGUGUGUCAGUUUCCAGAGCACGUUCCCAUGGCCCCUGCUCAGGACCAGGUAUGAAGACCAGCUCUGGGGGCAUCAAGGACUGGGAG